UACGUAGGGUCCGAGCGUUGUCCGGAAUUAUUGGGCGUAAAGAGCUCGUAGGCGGUUUGUCGCGUCUGCUGUGAAAACUCGGGGCUUAACCCCGGGCCUGCAGUGGGUACGGGCAGACUAGAGUGCGGUAGGGGAGACUGGAAUUCCUGGUGUAGCGGUGAAAUGCGCAGAUAUCAGGAGGAACACCAACGGCGAAGGCAGCACUCUGGGCCGGAACUGACGCUGAGGAGCGAAAGCGUGGGUAGCGAACAGG
rnacentral:rRNA from 1 species